AAGUUUUAUAUUGGAUGGUCAUAUAUACUAUAAAUACUAAAGGUUUACAGAGAAAAGAAAUUGUGCAAAUAAAAAAAAAAAAGAACAAAUUUGAGAGAAAAGAGAAUUUUCAAGUGAAAAUGGCGAGAAAAGAAGCUUUGGUUUUUGUUUUCUUAUGCCUCAUAAUCGUGGCAUCUGUGGCAGCCAGAACUAUUCCAGAAGCAAAUGUCGAUAAUACAGAAUUUCUUGAUAACAAUAAUAAAAUUGAUGGUAAAACUCGGACCUGUUGCAUUGCAAAUGCGUUCGUUGGGGGCUGCUUGUGGUAUUGCAAAGCGAAGCUCACAUAGUCACCAUACAGCCGCAUGGAUUAUACAAGACACACGAUGCACUACCAUGGGCUAUGCAGGAUUUGAAUAAUAAACGUGUCCUUCAUCCUAAAAUCGUCGUGUUGUAAUAAAUUAAUGUGAAACAAAUACCAUGCGUGAAUAUCUUUAGUAGUUAAGUCUUAUGGUUUGUGACUGAUAUCUUAAUAGUUAUUUUGAUAAUACUUAAGCAAUUUAUCUAA